GCGAACAGGAUUAGAUACCCUGGUAGUCCACGCCGUAAACGGUGGAUGCUGGAUGUGGGGACCAUUCCACGGUCUCCGUGUCGGAGCCAACGCGUUAAGCAUCCCGCCUGGGGAGUACGGCCGCAAGGCUAAAACUCAAAGAAAUUGACGGGGGCCCGCACAAGCGGCGGAGCAUGCGGAUUAAUUCGAUGCAACGCGAAGAACCUUACCUGGGCUUGACAUGUUCCCGACAGCCCCAGAGAUGGGGCCUCCCUUCGGGGCGGGUUCACAGGUGGUGCAUGGUCGUCGUCAGCUCGUGUCGUGAGAUGUUGGGUUAAGUCCCGCAACGAGCGCAACCCUCGCCCUGUGUUGCCAGCACGUCGUGGUGGGAACUCACGGGGGACCGCCGGGGUCAACUCGGAGGAAGGUGGGGAUGACGUCAGAUCAUCAUGCCCCUUACGUCCAGGGCUUCACGCAUGCUACAAUGGCCGGUACAACGGGAUGCGACACCGCGAGGUGGAGCGGAUCCCUUAAAACCGGUCUCAGUUCGGAUUGGAGUCUGCAACCCGACUCCAUGAAGGCGGAGUCGCUAGUAAUCGCGGAUCAGCAACGCCGCGGUGAAUGCGUUCCCGGGCCUUGUACACACCGCCCGUCAAGUCAUGAAAGUGGGCAGCACCCGAAGCCGGUGGCCCAACCUUUUGGGGGGAGCCGUCUAAGGUGAGGCUCGUGAUUGGGACUAAGUCGUAACAAGGUAGCCGUACCGGAAGGUGCGGCUG
rnacentral:rRNA from 1 species